UGACGGUACCUUGAUAAGAAGCACCGGCUAACUACGUGCCAGCAGCCGCGGUAAUACGUAGGGUGCGAGCGUUAAUCGGAAUUACUGGGCGUAAAGCGUGCGCAGGCGGUUUUGUAAGUCAGAUGUGAAAUCCCCGGGCUCAACCUGGGAACUGCGUUUGAAACUACAAGGCUAGAGUGUAGAAGAGGGGGGUAGAAUUCCACGUGUAGCAGUGAAAUGCGUAGAGAUGUGGAGGAAUACCGAUGGCGAAGGCAGCCCCCUGGGCUAACACUGACGCUCAUGCACGAAAGCGUGGGGAGCAAACAGGAUUAGAUACCCUGGUAGUCCACGCCCUAAACGAUGUCUACUAGUUGUUGGAGGAGUAAAAUCCUUUAGUAACGCAGCUAACGCGUGAAGUAGACCGCCUGGGGAGUACGGUCGCAAGAUUAAAACUCAAAGGAAUUGACGG
rnacentral:rRNA from 1 species